UUUCCGUAGGUGAACCUGCGGAAGGAUCAUUAUUGAGAUGUAACGGCGCCCUGUUAGUUGUUGCAUGUAGAGUCAGUGCUGGCUUCUGAAGUAUGUGCACGCUUUACUUGUAGCUCUAACUUGGUGAUAACCGCUUCUUAUCCAUCCACCUGUGCACUUUUUGUAGGAGUUUUUAUUAAGUUGGCUUUCAAGUCGAAAGACUUUGUUAGUUGGCAUAAUAGGACUUCUAUGUCUUUACAAACCAUUGAAGUAUGUCUAGAAUGUCAUUUUACUGGGACUUCAUUGACCCUUUAAACUUUAUACAACUUUCAGCAACGGAUCUCUUGGCUCUC
rnacentral:misc_RNA from 1 species